rnacentral:rRNA from 1 species
UACGGGGGGAGCAAGCGUUGUUCGGAUUUACUGGGCGUAAAGGGCGCGUAGGCGGCCACCGCAGGUCGACUGUGAAAUCUCCGGGCUUAACCCGGAAAGGUCAGCCGAUACUGCGGGGCUAGAGUGCAGAAGGGGCAACUGGAAUUCUCGGUGUGGCGGUGAAAUGCGUAGAUAUCGAGAGGAACACCUGCGGCGAAGGCGGGUUGCUGGGCUGACACUGACGCUGAGGAGCGAAAGCGUGGGUAGCGAACAGG